UGUGCAGUACCGAUGUCACCAGGCCU
rnacentral:piRNA from 1 species